GAUGAACGCUGGCGGCGUGCCUAAUACAUGCAAGUCGAGCGAACGGAUGAGAAGCUGUCUUUUCUGAUGUUAGCGGCGGACGGGUUAUGAACACGUGGUUAGACUACCUAUAGGAAUGGGCUGAUUUCGGGAAACGGUAGCGAAAGCCGGAUAAUAUUUUGAACGGCAUUGAUCAAAAGUUAAAUAAGGUCUUGGUGGGACUUAUAGAUGGCUACGCGAUGCAUUAGUUAGUUGGUAAGGUAACGGCUUACCAAGGCAACGAUGCAGGGCCGACCUGAGAGGGUGAUCGGCCACACUGGAACUGAGACACGGUCCAGACUCCUACGGGAGGCAGCAGUAGGGAAUCUUCCGCAAUGGGCGAAAGCCUGACGGAGCAACGCCGCGUGAGUGAUGAAGGUCUUCGGAUCGUAAAACUCUGUUAUUAGGGAAGAACAUAUGUGUAAGUAACUGUGCACAUCCUGACGGUACCUAAUCAGAAAGCCACGGCUAACUACGUG
rnacentral:rRNA from 1 species